rnacentral:rRNA from 1 species
GACGAACGCUGGCGGCGUGCCUAACACAUGCAAGUCGAGCGGAGACAGUGAGUAGCUUGCUAUGAGCUGUUUUAGCGGCGGACGGGUGAGUAACGCGUGAGCAACCUUUCCCAGACAGGGGAAUAACACACCGAAAGGUGUACUAAUACCGCAUAAGACCACGGGAUCACAUGGUUCUGGGGUAAAAGAUUUAUCGGUUUGGGGUGGGCUCGCGUCCGAUUAGGUAGUUGGUGAGGUAACGGCCCACCAAGCCGACGAUCGGUAGCCGACCUGAGAGGGUGAUCGGCCACAUUGGGACUGAGACACGGCCCAAAACUCCUACGGGAGGCAGCAGUGGGGAAUAUUGGGCAAUGGAGGAAAACUCUGACCCAGCAAACGCCGCGUGGAGGAAGAAGGUUUUCGAAUUGUACAGCUCUUUCGGGUGUGAAGAUGAUGACGGUAACACCAGAAGAAAGCCCCGGCAAAACUUCGUG